rnacentral:lncRNA from 13 species
UCCCUGUGUCUCUGCAGGAUCUUAAUUCUCAAUUAUCUUAAGUAUUUUUUCUAUUAAUAAUAUUAUUGUGUAUCAACCUUUGGUGCCUAAUCCUUUGAUAUGCACUUCAUGGGAUCAGCCCCACAUCUUUAAUCUCAUAGCAUUGAGCAGAGUGAGGCUUUAGAAAUCUAACUAACUAAACACUCAUACACAUUCCCAAGCUCGGUGGGUGGACUUCUCUAAAUUUUCAAGUAAUAUGUGAAUCUUCCCUGCUACAAGUCUGGAGUCCCACAUGUAACCUCAGAUUUUCUGCUUUAUUUUCCACUUCCUGUUUUUUCCUGUUAAAGCCAAUUUAGUCUACCUACUUAAGAGAUUCCAAUCUGUCCUACACUUUUAAGAGCUAUUCUGAGAAGUUGAGAAGUAUCUUCUUCUCACAUGUUUUAUUCCCUUAGGCUCUGAUGGUUAAUAUUAAGUGUCAACUUGAUUGGAUUGAAGGAUGCAAAUUAUUGAUCAUGAGUGUGUCUGUGAGGGUGUUUCCAAAAGAGAUUAACAUUUGAGUCAGUGGGCUGGAGAAGCAGACUCACCAUUAAUCUGGGUGGGGACCAUCUCAUUAGCUGCUAGCAAAUAUAAAGCAGGCAGAAAAACAUGAAGAGGCAAGAAUGGCUUAGAUUUCCAGCCUACAUCUUUCUCCCAUUCCGGAUGCUUCCUGCUCUUGAACAUCAGACUCCAAGUUCAGUUUUGGGACUCACACUGGCUCUUUUUGCUCCUCAGCUUGCAGAUGCCCUGUUGUGGGACCUUGUGAUCAUUAAGAAUCAUCUGUAUGGACCACAUACAGUCCCCAGCACACACCCAGCAGCAGUAAAUGCCCCCAGGGAAGGAAACAGCUGUCUGCAAGUCUCAGCUCACCUCUGAAUUGAGCUGUGUCUUCUCCAAUGCCAUCCUGCCUUGUUGAUCAAAUCACUGGAAUUAUUGAGUUUUCCUCCCACAACUUUGGAAGAUAGUGCCCCUUUUCACGCUCUUUUGCCAUUUUCACAUUCAAGAUUUCAAAAACAUCAGAAUUUCUCAGGGAUUUAUCCUAAACUAUCUUUCUUGUGUUCUAUACUUUCUCAUUACAAUUCUAGUAAAUUAUUUGACUUAACUUUCAACUGCCAUAUAUAUAUUAUAUAUAUACGAU